GAACGCAUAUUGCGCUCUUUGGUAUUCCGAAGAGCAUGCUUGUUUGAGUAUCAGUAAACACCUCAACCUCUCUUUUUUGAUAAAAAAAAGGGAGGGUGGACUUGAGCUAUCCCAACGACCUUCACCGGUAGGCGGGCGGCUUGAAAUGCAGGUGCAGCUGGACUUUUAUCUGAGCUAAAAGCAUAUCUAUUUAGUCUGCCUAAAAACAGAUUAUUACCUUUGCUGCAGCUAACAUAAAGGAGAUUAGUUCUUGUGCUGACUGAUGCAGGAUUCACAGAGACAGCUUCGGCUGGCCUUUGUAAACUCGAUCUCAAAUCAAGUAAGACUACCCGCUGAACUUAAG
rnacentral:misc_RNA from 1 species